rnacentral:rRNA from 1 species
UACGUAGGGGGCAAGCGUUGUCCGGAUUUAUUGGGCGUAAAGAGCGUGUAGGCGGUUUGGUAGGUCCGCUGUGAAAACUCGAGGCUCAACCUCGAGACGCCGGUGGAAACCAUCAGGCUAGAGUCCGGAAGAGGCGAGUGGAAUUCCCGGUGUAGCGGUGAAAUGCGCAGAUAUCGGGAGGAACACCAAUGGCGAAGGCAGCUCGCUGGGACGUUACUGACGCUGAGACGCGAAAGCGUGGGGAGCAAACA